UACGUAGGUGGCGAGCGUUGUCCGGAUUUACUGGGCGUAAAGCGCGUGUAGGCGGCCCAGCAAGUCGGAUGUGAAAGCCCUGGGCUUAACCUAGGAAGUGCAUUCGAAACUGCUGGGCUUGAGUUCUGGAGAGGAAGGCGGAAUUCUCGGUGUAGAGGUGAAAUUCGUAGAUAUUGGGAGGAACACCAGCGGCGAAAGCGGCUCUCUGGCUUGUCACUGACACUCAAUCGCGAAAGGGUGGGGAGCAAACAGG
rnacentral:rRNA from 1 species